CGGACGGGUGAGUAAUGUAUGGGGAUCUGCCUGAUGGCGGGGGAUAACUACUGAAACGGUAGCUAAUACCGCAUAAUGUCUGCGGACCAAAGCGGGGGACCUCCGGGCCUCGCGCCAUCAGGUGAACCCAUAUGGGAUUAGCUAGUAGGUAAGGUAACGGCUUACCUAGGCGACGAUCCCUAGCUGGUCUGAGAGGAUGAUCAGCCACACUGGGACUGAGACACGGCCCAG
rnacentral:rRNA from 1 species